GAUGAACGCUGGCGGCGUGCCUAAUACAUGCAAGUCGAGCGAACAGAUGAGGCGCUUGCUCCUCUGACGUUAGCGGCGGACGGGUGAGUAACACGUGGAUAACCUACCUAUCAGACUCGGCUCACUUCGAGACACCGGAGCUCAUACCGGAUAAUCUAUUCAACCGCAUGGUUCAAUAGUGAAAGACGGUUUUGCUGUCACUUAUAGAUGGAUCCGCGCCGCAUUAGCUAGUUGGUAAGGUAACGGCUUACCAAGGCAACGAUGCGUAGCCGACCUGAGAGGGUGAUCGGCCACACUGGGACUGAGACACGGUCCAGACUCCUACGGGAGGCAGCAGUAGGGAAUCUUGCGCAAUGGGCGAAAGCGUGACGGAGCAACGCCGCGUGAGUGAUGAAGGUCUUCGGAUCGUAAAACUCUGUUAUUAGGGAAGAACAAAUGGGUAAGUAACUAUGCACGUCUUGACGGUACCUAAACAGAAAGCCACGGCUAACUACGUG
rnacentral:rRNA from 1 species